CGUUAGCUCAGUUGGUAGAGCAACUGACUUUUAAUCAGUGGGUCACAGGUUCAAAUCCUG
rnacentral:tRNA from 1 species